rnacentral:rRNA from 1 species
CCUACGGGUGGUAGCAGUGGGGGAUAUUGCACAAUGGGGGAAACCCUGAUGCAGCGACGCCGCGUGAGUGAAGAAGUAUUUCGGUAUGUAAAGCUCUAUCAGCAGGGAAGAAAAUGACAGUACCUGACCAAGAAGCCCCGGCUAACUACGUGCCAGCAGCCGCGGUAAUACGUAGGGGGCAAGCGUUAUCCGGAUUUACUGGGUGUAAAGGGAGCGUAGACGGUUAUGUAAGUCUGGAGUGAAAGCCCGGGGCCCAACCCCGGGACUGCUUUGGAAACUGUGUAACUGGAGUACAGGAGGGGCAGGCGGAAGUCCUGGUGUAGCGGUGAAAUGCGUAGAUAUCAGGAGGAACACCGGCGGCGAAGGCAGCCUCCUGGGACGCAACUGACGCUCAUACACGAAAGCGUGGGGAGCAAACAGGAUUAGAUACCCCUGUAGUC